rnacentral:lncRNA from 1 species
CACGCACAGAGCUGCCGGCCACGUCCCUCUCUCUGCCUCUCGGGUACACACCUGAGAAUAUUCUGUAAAAGUCCCCACCCACCCUCGCUGUUUCCAAAUUGGUGACAUCACAAAGCGGAACAAAACAGAAACGCCCCCAUCCAAGUGGCCUUUCUCCCAGUGUCACCGGGGGACCAUCCCUCCAGCCGCCCAGCCCACGUGGGCUCCGGUGGGGUGCGCUCUAGCCAGGGCAGGGUGGCCGUGCAGCCCUCUGGAGUCCCCGGGCAGCCCCAAGCAGCCAGUGUUGGCCCCGGAGGCACAGCCCAGAGAAGCCCCCGUGGCUCCAGCCCGGGGACCCUUCCCAGCCUCUGCAGAGGGACGGGGAACCCGGCCAUGAGAGAGGGCCCAGGGUGUUUCUUCAACCUAAAAAAGCGAGCCAUAAGUCAAGGCCAGAAAAAGGCUGCCUUUGCCGUUGACAAAAGGUGAGAAGGUGCGCGAAGUGUACGGAGGGAGAGAUGUACAUCCCCUGAUAACUGUGAAAUAAAAACCAUUUGUUAAAAAUAUGAAAAAAAAAAAUCUCCUCCCGCGGGCAGAGGCCCCGGCCCGGACUCGGCAGCGCCACCCGCCCGGCAGCCGCAGGCUCCGUGGAAGGAAGGUCCUGCCCCGUGUCUCCAUCCCGUCUCCCUGGGCCUGGGCGCUCAGACCAGGUUGUACUCCUUGAGGUUGAGCUGCAGGAUGGUGUCCUUCACGGCCGCGAACACGAAGCGGAUGUUCUCCGUGUCGGUGGCACACGUGAAGUGUCCUUCUUGUUGAGGAAGAGGAUGACGGAGGAGUUCUGGAACCAGG